GGUAGUAUGACUGAUAAUAGUGGUAAUCUGUAAAAUUACACAUAGGAAAACACCUUGCUGCCA
rnacentral:tRNA from 1 species